AUGCGAUGAGCCGAAUUAACUCAAUUUGAGAGUUUAUUUGCGCAGAGGAGGUCAUUCUAGUUCGACUAGAAACGCAGGAGCGGACUUUGACAAUUUGUGUGAACCUUUUUGUCACACUCGUUUGAGUGCCUCGUUUCCCUACUUUUUGGUAGGGAUUUUUU
rfam:Streptococcus gallolyticus strain ICDDRB-NRC-S1, complete genome.